UUUUUGUAAGCAAGAGAUCUAACUGAAAGACCUCCAAAGGGAGACCCUCACUCAAGUCUUGGGAUAAUAGUGGACCCCCAAGAACUCACGAGAGACC
rnacentral:pre_miRNA from 7 species